CUGUCUCAUCCUGGUCAAUAAUGCAUUUUUUGUUUGGCCAGGUUACGGUGGACAGCUAGGACCAGCUCAAGAAAUGUUGGGAGAGCAAGUUGGAAAAUAUGGCGGAUACAAAGGCUAAUUCAUAUAAGCUGGACUUCUUCAAGUGG